UACAGGGGGGGCAAGCGUUGUUCGGAAUUACUGGGCGUAAAGGGUUCGUAGGUGGCCACCUAAGUCAGACGUGAAAUCCCUCAGCUUAACUGGGGAACUGCGUCUGAUACUGGGUGGCUUGAGUGCAGGAGAGGAAUGCGGAAUUCCAGGUGUAGCGGUGAAAUGCGUAGAUAUCUGGAGGAACACCGGUGGCGAAGGCGGCAUUCUGGACUGUAACUGACACUGAGGAACGAAAGCCAGGUGAGCAAACGGG
rnacentral:rRNA from 1 species